rnacentral:rRNA from 1 species
CGCCUGUUUAUCAAAAACAUCGCCUCUUGCCAAAAAUAUAAGAGGUCCCGCCUGCCCAGUGACAGGAUUUAACGGCCGCGGUACUCUGACCGUGCGAAGGUAGCACAAUCACUUGUUCUUUAAAUGAGGACUAGAAUCAAUGGCAUCACGAGGGUCCCACUGUCUCCUUUUUCUAAUCAGUGGAAAUUGGAUUUCCCCGUGAAGAAGCGGGGAUAACCUUAUAAGACGAGAAGACCCCAUGGAGCUUCAAACUCAACGGAUAACUCUAUAACCCAUAAGAUAUUUUAAGGGACCUAUCCGCUAGUUUUGGGUUGGGGUGACCACGGAGAACAGCCUAACCUCCGUAAUGAAAAGAAUAAAAUCAUAAUCCAAGAGCUACACCUCUAAGAAUUAACAAAUUAACAUACAAUGAUCCAAUUUUUUAUUGAUCAAUGAACCAAGUUACCCUGGGGAUAACAGCGCUAUCCACUUCUAGAGUCCAUAUCGCCAAGUGGGUUUACGACCUCAUGUUGGAUCAGGGUGUCCAAGUGGUGCAGCCGCUACUAAAGGUUCGUUUGUUCAACGAUUAAAACCCUACGUGAUCUGAGUUCAGACCGGA